rnacentral:rRNA from 1 species
AAUCAACGCUGGCGGCGUGCCUAACACAUGCAAGUCGAACGAGAAAGUGGAGCAAUCCAUGAGUACAGUGGCGACCGGGUGAGUAACACGUGACUAACCUACCCUAGAGUGGGGGAUAACCCCGGGAAACCGGGGCUAAUACCGCAUGACAUCGCGAGGGGAAGAUCACUGCGAUCAAAGGAGUAAUCCGCUCAAGGAGGGGGUCGCGGCUGAUUAGCUAGUUGGUAGGGUAACGGCCUACCAAGACGAAGAUCAGUAGCCGGCCUGAGAGGGCGCACGGCCACACUGGAACUGAAACACGGUCCAGACUCCUACGGGAGGCAGCAGUGGGGAAUUUUGCGCAAUGGGGGAAACCCUGACGCAGCAACGCCGCGUGGAGGAUGAAGUCCCUUGGGAUGUAAACUCCUUUCGAUCGGGACGAUUAUGACGGUACCGGAAGAAGAAGCACCGGCUAACUCUGUGCCAGCAGCCGCGGUAA